rnacentral:misc_RNA from 1 species
GAAAUGCGAUAAGUAAUGUAAAUUGCAGAAUUCAGUGAAUCAUCGAAUCUUUGAACGCACCUUGCGCUCCUUGGUAUUCCUUGGAGCAUGCCUGUUUGAGUAUCAUGAAAUCUUCAAAGUAAAUCUUUUGUUAACUCAAUUGGUUUCUACUUUGGUAUUGGAGGUCUUUGCAGCUUCACACCUGCUCCUCUUUGUUCAUUAGCUGGAUCUCAGUGUUAUGCUUGGUUCCACUCGGCGUGAUAAGUUAUCUAUCGCUGAGGACACUGUAAAAGGUGGCCAAGGUAAAUGCAGAUGAACCGCUUCUAAUAGUCCAUUGACUUGGACAAUACUUUUAUGAUCUGAUCUCAAAUCAGGUAGGACUACCCGCUGAACUUAAGC